rnacentral:rRNA from 1 species
AAUAUUGCGCAAUGGAGGAAACUCUGACGCAGCGACGCCGCGUGAGCGAUGAAGGUCUUCGGAUCGUAAAGCUCUGUCCUUGGGGAAGAAGAUCGAAAGAUUUGACGGUACCCGAGGAGGAAGCCCUGGCCAACUACGUGCCAGCAGCCGCGGUAAUACGUAGGGGGCGUGCGUUGUCCGGAAUUAUUGGGCGUAAAGGGUUCGUAGGCGGUUUUUUAAGUCAGAUGUGAAAGGUCGCGGCUCAACCGUGGUAAGCAUUUGAAACUGAAAGACUUGAGUUAAGGAGAGGAAAGUGGAAUUCCUAGUGUAGCGGUGAAAUGCGUAGAUAUUAGGAGGAAUACCAGUGGCGAAGGCGACUUUCUGGACUUAUACUGACGCUGAGGAACGAAAGCGUGGGGAGCAAACAG